rnacentral:lncRNA from 1 species
AAGUGGAUGCCACAUUAUUUUUGCCCUUCUUCGGGUUGUCUAGACCCAGCUGACUAUACCAUUGAGUACGGGGCAGCAGAGGUACCUUGACAUCAUAUUUCUUUUUCUUCACUUUCAAUUCUCUGAAGAACAAAGAUAGUGUGUUUGGGAAGGGGUAGUUUGUUAUAGUCUCCUGACCAGCUGUAGAAAUAGCCCUCGACAUAAUACUACCC